GACGAACGCUGGCGGCGUGCCUAAUGCAUGCAAGUCGCACGCGGCACCUUCGGGUGCUGAGUGGCGAACGGCUGAGGAACACGUGGGGACCUGUCCGGGAGUGGGGGACAACACCGCGAAAGCGGUGCUAAUCCCGCAUACGCUCUGAGGAGGAAAGCCGAAAGGCGCUCCCGGGUGGCCCUGCGGCCCAUCAGGUUGUUGGUGGGGUAACGGCCUACCAAGCCAAUGACGGGUCGCUGGUCUGUGAGGACGACCAGCCAGACUGGGACUGGGACACGGCGCAGACGCGUACGGGAGGGAGCAGGAAGGAAUUUGCGGCAAGGGGCGCAAGGCUGAGCGAGCAACGCGGCGGGCAGGAAGACGGCCUGCGGGUGGUAAGCUGCUUUUGCUAGGGAGGAUAACGGACGGUACCGGGCGAAUCAGCCCCGGCUAACUCUGUG
rnacentral:rRNA from 1 species